GACGAACGCUGGCGGCGUGCUUAACACAUGCAAGUCGAACGGAAAGGCCCUGCUUUUGUGGGGUGCUCGAGUGGCGAACGGGUGAGUAACACGUGAGUAACCUGCCCUUGACUUUGGGAUAACUUCAGGAAACUGGGGCUAAUACCGGAUAGGAGCUCCUGCUGCAUGGUGGGGGUUGGAAAGUUUCGGCGGUUGGGGAUGGACUCGCGGCUUAUCAGCUUGUUGGUGGGGUAGUGGCUUACCAAGGCUUUGACGGGUAGCCGGCCUGAGAGGGUGACCGGCCACAUUGGGACUGAGAUACCGCCCCGACUCCUACGGGAGGGAACAGUGGGGGAUAUUGCCCCAUGGGCGGAAGCCUGAUGCAGCAACGCCGCGUGCGGGAUGACGGCCUUCGGGUUGUAAACCGCUUUCGCCUGUGACGAAGCGUGAGUGACGGUAAUGGGUAAAGAAGCACCGGCUAACUACGUG
rnacentral:rRNA from 1 species